rnacentral:lncRNA from 1 species
AAAAAGUCGGAACGCCACGUAGAAAUGACGUAGUUUUCAUAUCACCAAAUGGUGAAGAAAUAAAAAAUAAGAAACAACUGGAAAUUUUCCUACGUUUGCACCCUGAAAAUCCACCAUCCUCUGAAUUUGACUGGGGGAACAGGUCUCUCUCUCUCUCUCUCUCUCUCUCUCUCNNNNNNNNNNNNNNNNNNNNAACGAGGUCUCUCUCUCUCUCUCUCUCUCUCUCUCUCAUGCUUGCUUGCUAAUCCUCCACCUCUUCCAUGCAUGGGAACAAGCUUUGCAUACAUAUUCUAGCAAACAUGAUUUCUUUGUUCACUCUUUUUUUGACAUGGAUUUUAAACAGGACAAACGCCUAGGCGUUCUGCUAGAAUUAAUGAAAAGAUGAAGGCAGCAGAAAACCCAGAAGGUGAAAAAUCAAGAAAACGAGAAAGAAAAGCAAGCUCCAAAAAACAGAAAAUGAAAAAAAGCUAAUGAUAGUGUGACUGAAGGUCCUGCAGCUCAGGAAGAUGCAAAAGUUGAAGCUGAAGAUGCAACAGUUGAAGGCACAGGUGCAG